AGCGAACGUUAGCGGCGCGCCUAACACAUGCAAGUCGUGCGAGAAAGGGCUUCGGCCCCGGUAAAGCGGCGCACGGGUGCGUAACACGUGGAUAAUCUACCCGGGAGCGGGGGAUAACCUUCCGAAAGGAAGACUAAUACCCCGUAGGACCACGGCGACCAAGGUUGCCGAGGUGAAAGAUGCCCUCUUCAUGAAAGGUAUCGCUUCCGGAUGAGUCCGCGGCCCAUCAGCUAGUUGGAGAGGUAACGGCUCACCAAGGCGAAGACGGGUAGCUGGUCUGAGAGGAUGAUCAGCCACACUGGAACUGAAACACGGUCCAGACUCCUACGGGAGGCAGCAGUGGGGAAUAUUGGUCAAUGGGCGCAAGCCUGAACCAGCGACGCCGCGUGGGU
rnacentral:rRNA from 1 species